rnacentral:rRNA from 1 species
AUUGAACGCUGGCGGCAUGCUUUACACAUGCAAGUCGAACGGUAACAGGUCUUCGGAUGCUGACGAGUGGCGAACGGGUGAGUAACACAUCGGAACGUGCCUAGUAGUGGGGGAUAACUACUCGAAAGAGUAGCUAAUACCGCAUGAGAUCUAAGGAUGAAAGCAGGGGACCUUCGGGCCUUGCGCUACUAGAGCGGCUGAUGGCAGAUUAGGUAGUUGGUGGGAUAAAAGCUUACCAAGCCGACGAUCUGUAGCUGGUCUGAGAGGACGACCAGCCACACUGGGACUGAGACACGGCCCAGACUCCUACGGGAGGCAGCAGUGGGGAAUUUUGGACAAUGGGCGAAAGCCUGAUCCAGCAAUGCCGCGUGUAGGAUGAAGGCCCUCGGGUUGUAAACUACUUUUGUACGGAACGAAAAGCUCUCUUCUAAUAAAGGAGAGUGAUGACGGUACCGUAAGAAUAAGCACCGGCUAACUACGUGCCAGCAGCCGCAGUAACAC